CUGUAUGAAGUUGGAAUCGCUAGUAAUCGCGGAUCAGCAUGCCGCGGUGAAUACGUUCCCGGGCCUUGUACACACCGCCCGUCACACCAUGAGAGUCGGGAACACCCGAAGUCCGUAGUCUAACCGCAAGGGGGACGCGGCCGAAGGUGGGUUCGAUAAUUGGGGUGAAGUCGUAACAAGGUAGC
rnacentral:rRNA from 1 species